GAGGGUUGGAAAGUUAGAUACUUUCUAGAUUUCUUGAAGUGAAAUCUCACUCAAAACGAAUGAAAAUCCACUCAAAGAGGAAGAGAUCGCGCAAUUGAAUGCCACGCCGAGUUGAAGAGCGACGCAUUUGAUCCUGAGAAAUACGAGACAGCAUUUGGGAGAGCAGCGGAUUUUGCGGGCAGAAACGAGCACUCAACUCUAAAGCCCGUGUCACACUACGGAUUGGAAAUUGAGGAUUGCGGAUUGAUGAUUAGAUUUCGACGAAUCAAUGCACUUUAGUCUUGGUCCUGCUUGGCUCCAAUUAGUCAAAUUCCAAUCUUCAAUCCGCAAUUCUCUAUCUCCAAUCCGUAGUGUGACACAGGCUUAAGGGGAUGCUGCGCCGAAGGAUCCGGCUCGGGCCUAGCAGAGUCGGCGCAAAAACAAAGCAAGCGACCAGCCGACUCUAAGAAGCUGCUGCGCCGGAAGAUCCGGCUCGGACCGAGCGGAAUUUGCUCGAAGGUGAGCAUCACUAAUUAGCAUUCAUAAUUAAAAAUCCG